AUUGAACGCUGGCGGCAUGCCUUACACAUGCCAGUCGAACGGUACCAGGUCUUCGGAUGCUGACGAGUGGCGAACGGGUGAGUAAUACAUCGGAACGUGCCCGAUCGUGGGGGAUAACGAAGCGAAAGCUUUGCUAAUACCGCAUACGAUCUACGGAUGAAAGCGGGGGAUCUUCGGACCUCGCGCGGACGGAGCGGCCGAUGGCAGAUUAGGUAGUUGGUGGGAUAAAAGCUUACCAAGCCGACGAUCUGUAGCUGGUCUGAGAGGAUGAUCAGCCACACUGGGACUGAGACACGGCCCAGACUCCUACGGGAGGCAGCAGUGGGGAAUUUUGGACAAUGGGCGCAAGCCUGAUCCAGCCAUGCCGCGUGCAGGAUGAAGGCCUUCGGGUUGUAAACUGCUUUUGUACGGAACGAAAAGGUGCCUUCUAAUAAAGGGCGCUCAUGACGGUACCGUAAGAAUAAGCACCGGCUAACUACGUG
rnacentral:rRNA from 1 species